rnacentral:rRNA from 1 species
AUUCCAGCUCCAAUAGCGUAUAUUAAAGUUGUUGCAGUUAAAACGCUCGUAGUCGGAUUUCGGGGCGGCUUCGUCGGUCUGCCGUUGGGUAUGCACUGACGCGGGCGUCCUUCCUUCCGGAGACGCGUCCUACUCUUAGCUGAGCGGGGCGUGGAGACGGAUCGUUUACUUUGAAAAAAUCAGAGUGUUUCAAGCAGGCAUCAUCGCUCUUGCAUGGAUUAGCAUGGGAUAAUGAAAUAGGACCUUGGUGCUAUUUUGUUGGUUUCGAGCACCGAAGUAAUGAUUAACAGGGACAGUCAGGGGCACUCGUAUUCCGCCGAGAGAGGUGAAAUUCUCAGACCAGCGGAAGACGAACCACUGCGAAAGCAUUUGCCAGGGAUGUUUUCAUCA